AUGGCCAUAUCAUGUUGAAAUACCGAUUCUCAUACGAUCAAUGAAGUUAGGCAAAGUAAAGCUUGGUUAGUACUUUGGUGAGUGACCACUUUGGAAUAUCAGUUGCUGUAA